AUAUUGGUCAAUGGACGAGAGUCUGAACCAGCCAAGUCGCGUGAAGGAAGACGGAUCUAUGGUUUGUAAACUUCUUUAGUGCGGGAACAAAGCGGUGUCGUGACGCCGGAUGAGUGUACCGCAAGAAUAAGCAUCGGCUAACUCCGUGCCAGCAGCCGCGGUAAUACGGAGGAUGCGAGCGUUAUCCGGAUUUAUUGGGUUUAAAGGGUGCGUAGGUGGUGAUUUAAGUCAGCGGUGAAAGUUUGUGGCUCAACCAUAAAAUUGCCGUUGAAACUGGGUUACUUGAGUGUGUUUGAGGUAGGCGGAAUGCGUGGUGUAGCGGUGAAAUGCAUAGAUAUCACGCAGAACUCCGAUUGCGAAGGCAGCUUACUAAACCAUAACUGACACUGAAGCACGAAAGCGUGGGGAUCAAACAGGAUUAGAUACCCUGGUAGUCCACGCAGUAAACGAUGAUUACUAGGAGUUUGCGAUACAAUGUAAGCUCUACAGCGAAAGCGUUAAGUAAUCCACCUGGGGAGUACGCCGGCAACGGUGAAACUCAAAGGAAUUGACGGGGGCCCGCACAAGCGGAGGAACAUGUGGUUUAAUUCGAUGAUACGCGAGGAACCUUACCCGGGCUUGAAUUGCAACUGAAUGAUGUGGAGACAUGUCAGCCGCAAGGCAGUUGUGAAGGUGCUGCAUGGUUGUCGUCAGCUCGUGCCGUGAGGUGUCGGCUUAAGUGCCAUAACGAGCGCAACCCUUAUCACUAGUUACUAACAGGUGAAGCUGAGGACUCUGGUGAGACUGCCAGCGUAAGCUGUGAGGAAGGUGGGGAUGACGUCAAAUCAGCACGGCCCUUACAUCCGGGGCGACACACGUGUUACAAUGGCAUGGACAAAGGGCAGCUACCUGGCGACAGGAUGCUAAUCUCCAAACCAUGUCUCAGUUCGGAUCGGAGUCUGCAACUCGACUCCGUGAAGCUGGAUUCGCUAGUAAUCGCGCAUCAGCCAUGGCGCGGUGAAUACGUUCCCGGGCCUUGUACACACCGCCCGUCAAGCCAUGGGAGCCGGGGGUACCUGAAGUGCGUAACCGCGAGGAGCGCCCUAGGGUAAAACUGGUGACUGGGGCUAAGUCGUAACAAGGUAGCCGUACCGGAAGGUGCGGCUG
rnacentral:rRNA from 1 species